AACGCGAAGAACCUUACCUGGGCUUGACAUACACCGGACCGGGCCAGAGAUGGUCUUUCCCUUGUGGCUGGUAUACAGGAGGUGCAUGGUUGUCGUCAGCUCGUGUCGUGAGAUGUUGGGUUAAGUCCCGCAACGAGCGCAACCCCUAUCGUUAGUUGCCAGCAUUCAGUUGGGCACUCUAGCGAGACUGCCGGUGACAAACCGGAGGAAGGUGGGGAUGACGUCAAAUCAUCAUGCCCCUUAUGACCUGGGCUACACACGUGCUACAAUGGAUGGUACAACGAGCCGCAAACCCGCGAGGGUAAGCGAAUCUCUUAAAGCCAUUCUCAGUUCGGAUUGCAGGCUGCAACUCGCCUGCAUGAAGCCGGAAUCGCUAGUAAUCGCGGAUCAGCACGCCGCGGUGAAUACGUUCCCGGGUCUUGUACACACCG
rnacentral:rRNA from 1 species